UAGGGAAUCUUCCACAAUGGACGCAAGUCUGAUGGAGCAACGCCGCGUGAGUGAAGAAGGUUUUCGGACCGUAAAGCUCUGUUGUUGGUGAAGAAGGAUAGAGGUAGUAACUGGCCUUUAUUUGACGGUAAUCAACCAGAAAGUCACGGCUAACUACGUGCCAGCAGCCGCGGUAAUACGUAGGUGGCAAGCGUUGUCCGGAUUUAUUGGGCGUAAAGCGAGCGCAGGCGGAAGAAUAAGUCUGAUGUGAAAGCCCUCGGCUUAACCGAGGAAUUGCAUCGGAAACUGUUUUCUUGAGUGCAGAAGAGGAGAGUGGAACUCCAUGUGUAGCGGUGGAAUGCGUAGAUAUAUGGAAGAACACCAGUGGCGAAGGCGGCUCUCUGGUCUGCAACUGACGCUGAGGCUCGAAAGCAUGGGUAGCGAACAGGAUUAGAUACCCUGGUAGUCCAUCCCGGUAAACGAUGAGUGCUAAGUGUUG
rnacentral:rRNA from 1 species